rnacentral:rRNA from 1 species
GCCUUGGGCUACACACACGCUACAAUGGGUGGUACAAUGGGUUGCGAUGGAGCGAUCCGGAGCUAAUCCUAACAAAACCAUCCUCAGUUCGGAUUGCAGGCUGAAAUUCGCCUGCAUGAAGUCGGAGUUGCUAGUAACCGCAAAUCAGCAUGUUGCGGUGAAUACGUUCUCGGGCCUU